rnacentral:rRNA from 1 species
GAAAGAGAGCCAACCCUGGGAACUGAAACAUCUAAGUACCAGGAGGAAAAGAAAACAAUCGUGAUUCCCCGAGUAGUGGCGAGCGAAAAGGGAACAGCCUAAAUCUAAGCAGCGUGCUGCUUAGAGGUUGUAGGACUGCAUUUAGAAACCGUUAUCAAGCUGAAUCUUCUGGAAAGUUGAACCAUAGCAGGUGAUAGUCCUGUAAGCACAAAUUAACGGGGACGAGCAGUAUCCUGAGUAAGGCGGGACCGGAGAAAUCCUGCCUGAAUCUGCCGGCACCAUCCGGUAAGGCUAAAUACUCCUCAAAGACCGAUAGUGAACCAGUACCGUAAGGGAAAGGUGAAAAGCACCCCAAACAGGGGAGUGAAAUAGUACCUGAAACCGUGUGCCUACAAGCGGUCGGAGUUCGCCUCGGCGAAUGACGGCGUGCCUUUUGCAUAAUGAACCUACGAGUUACUCCUCACUGGCAAGGUUAAGUUUUAAAUAACGGAGCCGUAGCGAAAGCGAGUCCAAAUAGGGCGACUAGUCAGUGGGGGUAGACGCGAAACUUUGUGAUCUAUCCAUGGGCAGGUUGAAGUUCUGGUAACACAGAAUGGAGGACCGAACUCAUUAACGUUGAAAAGUUAUGGGAUGACCUGUGGAUAGGGGUGAAAGGCCAAUCAAACUGAGAGAUAGCUCGUUCUCCCCGAAAUGUUUUUAGGAACAGCCUCGGAUAUAGAAGUUUACUAGAGGUAGAGCUACUGAUUGGGCUAGGGGGCUUCACCGCCUACCAAACCCUGACAAACUCCGAAUGCUAGUAAAUAUCUCCGGGAGUGAGGCUGCGGGUGCUAAGAUCCGUGGCCGAGAGGGAAAUAACCCAGAAUAGCAACUAAGGUCCCUAAUACGUAGUUAAGUUGAUCAAACGAGGUGGGGCUUCUAUAACAGCCAGGAUGUUGGCUUGGAAGCAGCCAUUCAUUUAAAGAGUGCGUAACAGCUCACUGGUCGAGAGGCCCUGCACGGAAAAUGAUCGGGCAUCAAACUACGAACCGAAGUUCUAUGAUCGUAAGAUCGGUAGGGGAGCAUUCUGAUCCGCUGUGAAGGUGUGUGGCGACGCAUGCUGGAGCGUUCAGAAAAGAAAAUGUAGGUAUAAGUAACGAUAAAUAAGGUGAAAAACCUUAUCGCCGUAAGUCUAAGGGUUCCUGAUCAACGUUAAUCGGAUCAGGGUUAGUCGGGUCCUUAGGUAAACCCGAAAGGGGUAACUGAUGGAAAGCUGGUUAAUAUUCCAGCACCCACUGUAGUUUCGAUGGGGUGACGCAUUAUUGAAAGUCUCACGGGGAUCACGGAAUAUCCCGUUUAAGCAUGUAGCUAUACGUUUUACAGGUAAAUCCGUAAGAUGUGGCAAAGUGCGAAAGUACACUGCGGCUUCGGCCAAUGGGAGAGACCUAAAAGAUGCCGAGAAAAACCUCUAAGGUUAGGCUACAGCGGCCCGUACCGCAAACCGACACAGGUAGACGAGAUGAAUAUUCUAAGGCGCUCGGGUGAGCCGUGGAGAAGGAACUAGGCAAAUUGACGCUGUAACUUCGGGAUAAAGCGUACCACCUUCUGGGUGGUCUCAGUAAAAUGGUCCAACCAACUGUUUAGCAAAAACACAGGGCCCUGCAAAAUCGAAAGAUGACGUAUAGAGCCUGAUACCUGCCCGGUGCUGGAAGGUUAAGGAAGGGUGUUCGACGCAAGUCAAAGCUCCUGACUGAAGCCCCAGUAAACGGCGGCCGUAACUAUAACGGUCCUAAGGUAGCGAAAUUCCUUGUCGGGUAAGUUCCGACCUGCACGAAUGGUCUAAUGAGUUGGACUCUGUCUCCUCCACGAGCCCGGUGAAAUUGUAGUAUCGGUGAAGAUGCCGGUUACCCGCCACGGGACGGAAAGACCCCGUGAACCUUCACUACAACUUUGCAUUGAUUUUGAGUUUUAGAUGUGUAGAAUAGUUGGGAGACUAUGAAGCGGUGCCGCUAGGUGUCGUGGAGUCAUCGUUGAAAUACCAACCUUCUGACACUUAGAAUCUAAUCCCUAACGGGAAACAGUGCAUGGUGGGUAGUUUGACUGGGGUGGUCGCCUCCUAAAGAGUAACGGAGGCUCGCAAAGGUACCCUCAGUACGGUUGGUAAUCGUACGCAGAGCGCAUUAGUAUAAGGGUGCUUGACUGUGAGGCAUACACGCCGAGCAGGUGCGAAAGCAGGCUAAAGUGAUCCGGCAGUUCUGUAUGGAAGGGCUGUCGCUCAAAGGAUAAAAGGUACUCCGGGGAUAACAGGCUGAUCUCCCCCAAGAGCUCAUAUCGACGGGGAGGUUUGGCACCUCGAUGUCGGCUCGUCACAUCCUGGGGUUGGAGAAGAUCCCAAGGGUUGGGCUGUUCGCCCAUUAAAGUGGCACGCGAGCUGGGUUUAGAACGUCGUGAGACAGUUCGGUCCCUAUCCUCUAUGGUCGUAGGAAAUUUGAAGGAAUCUGCUUCUAGUACGAGAGGACCGAAGCGGACGAACCUCUAGUGUGCCUGUUGUUAUAUCAAUAGCAUCGCAGGGUAGCUACGUUCGGCAGGGAUAAGCGCUGAAAGCAUAUAAGUGCGAAACCCAUCCUAAGAUAAGAUUUCCCUGAAGACUUCCAGAAGAAUACUGGUUUGAUAGGCCACAGAUGUAAGUGCAGUAAUGUAUUUAGUCGAGUGGUACUAAGUAGUCGUUCGACUUGACUUC